CUGCCACCAAGAAAACAAACAAACAUAAAUAGAGGGAAAGACACCUUUUAAAAAGUACAAACUACUGGGAAAUUCCCUGUGCCGAAAAUCUAGCCUAUAACUUCCUUGAGAUUGUUUUUCAGGGACAAAUACAAAUCUUAACAGUUCUUUCCAUAAAAGUAAAGAACCUUGGUCAUCUGAGCAGAUAAGCUUAACUUAUUCCAGCCAUUGUUUAUAAACUACGAUUUAGUCAUGUCUAACUCCUUGCAGCCCUAUGGACUGUGUCCUUCCAGGCUCUUCUGUCCAUGGGAUUCUCCAGGCAAGAAUACUGCAGCGGGUUGCCGUGCCCUCCUGCAGGGGAUCUUCCUGACCCAGGGAUCAAAUCCACAUCUUUUACGUCUCCUGAAUUGCCACGCAGUUUCCUUGCCACUAGUGCCACAUGGGAAGUCCAUUUAUAGACUAGUGAGUUAUAUACCAUAAGUAUUAUAUUUAUAUCUGAUUCAUGACUAAGGUCUUAAAAUGAAAUCUCUGAUUGCAUCUGUCCGUAUGGCUAUGUAUGUACAUUGCAAAUAGGGCCUUUUUCUACUCUCAGAUGGUAUUGACAAAAUCACUGUAAAAUAGCUUAACUGGCUUAAAAGUAAGUGCUUAUGAAGUAAAUAUUUCUAAAUCUCAGAUGUGUUAUAGAAAUGAAACCAAAUGGUUUUCAAUUUCAUGUGAUCUAAGUUUAAUAUUUAAUAAGUAAUAGCAAAUUUAAGGUUGCUAGUUUAAACAAAAUACACAUGUCUUUAAUCAUCAGUGAGAAAUGGAGUAUUUCCUGUAACAAGGAUGUUACAGUCAACAGGGAAUUCUGCCCUCCGUAUGUGAAUGUCUCCACCCUAAGGGCAAUCAGGAAGGAGACUAAUACCUGCUCUCCAGCAGACAUCAGGCUGCGGCCUCAGCCUGAGGCUUUGACUGAAAUGCCACAUUUGAGAGAAGAAUGCAUGGACUCAGAUAUGACCAGUCAACUUUAAGGAACUAAGGAUGACUUUAUGGAGCCAAAUUUCCCCUUGGAAAAAACAUGCAGUGGUAUCCUUACAGGAUUCCCAGUAGCCUUACCAGAAUCAUAGAAAAUUGAAGACCCCCUUAUCCUGAAGCCCUGAAAACUGAAGCUGGACUGCAUGAUAUAAACUUAAGAGAGAGCACCACAAUAGCCCAUGUUUUGACAAUCUGUGCCUUUUGCUGUGUACUCAGCUCAGAAAGUUUAUCCUAACAUCAAUGACAUCACGAGAGACAUUCAAACUACAGACCAGGAAAUUAUGUCAGAUGGUCACUUUCUACCCUCACUUCAUCUCAAGAUGCUUCAAGCCUGACAUCUAGAAAUGUUCUUGAUUGAGAGUUCUCAGGACUCCGACAAUGGAUUAUAAUUUGCUCCAAUCACUAACUGUUGUUUUUCUUUGGUUUUCGUAGAAACGCAUCUUUUUAAAAUUUGCUUGCACCUUAUAGGCCUAGCUUUGGAAGCCACCUGACUCAUAGCCUCCUGAAACGAAUAUAAUUGUAUCGAUUCAUUAUCAGGACUAUGGGGCUGACUUAGUGAGGUGGAACAAUCUACCAACUCAGCUUCUGGACUGUGAGGCUUCUUGGAGAAGUUUCAAAGGCAGGACUGUAAAGGAGCAAAAUUUGGCACCACAAAAUAUAUCUUUUUGGCAUGAGGAUUAAUUUAUGCUAAUUAUUUUUAAGAAACAGAGGACUCAGUAAAUCUUUCUUUUUACCUCUCUCUUAAAUGCUUACAGAAUUUGGAUCAAAGAAUAGUUCCAUCACCUGGGAUGGAGAUGCUGUGGUAUGCUGUGGUGGGGGAACCAGCAGGUUAGAGUCCACUCUGUAUCCCGGGGUCUCUGCAGGGAGCAGAAAACACCUGCUCUAUCAUCUCCAUGUGAACUGCCUUCCUGCCAGCUGAAGUCCCAAACUCCUACCCCAACACCCUCUUUUGCUGUUAGCUGAAGAUUGCAUUUAAGGUGAGGAUUUCAGCCUUUUCAGCCAGUUACUUAGUUUUCUUGGGUCUCUGCUAUGUACUUAUAAGUUAAUCCUCAGGCCAGCCAGACCUAGAAAGUUGGAAGGAAAUACUUCCUUCCCAACAAUUCUGUAGCUUGGCUGUCGACAGGUGUACAGGUUAUGCAAUGCCAUCUUUCCAUGUGUGCUCACUUGUGUCUAACUCUUUG
ensembl:lncRNA